rnacentral:lncRNA from 1 species
AUCAGUUUGAAACAUUUUGUUACGUGUUUGGUCGUCAUUAAUUACGUGAUUUGUAAUUUCGUUAUGUGAUUUCGUGACGUGAUUUUUUUCAGUAGGGAGAAAUAUAUGAUGGAAGUCAAGAUCAAGAAGAGGGGAUAAAAAGAAGAGAGGGAAGACGGUGGAGCGGAGUUGGUGAGAUACGGGAUAUCGAAAUAUCGGGAGAGGACCAAUAGGAAGAGAAGGAGAGAGUCGUUCGAGAGUCGAAAGUCGAGUUGGCAGUACUGGAAAAAGGACGGUAGUAGCAUGUUUCGCGAACGCAUUGUGUACGAACACGUGGUCCACCGGCAAUGACAACAAGUAAGGCAGCAAUAAGUGAGAAGUGAAAGUAGAGAAAAUGGAUAGUUAGAAGAAAGGAAGAAGAGGACUGCUCGAGCGCCAGAGUGGAAAGAGGAAGUACAAAGAAGCGGAAUGAGAAAGAGACAAGGAGAAAAGAUGGCGGAGAACAAGAUCUUGGCGGAGAGCAGAGAGAGAACAGCGGAUCGAGAAGAGAAGAAUUAGCAAGCAGAUGGAAGAGACAGGAGCCGAGGAAAACAGAAAGAGAGGAACAGAAGGGAAGGAGGAGGAUGGACGAAAAGGAGGCAGAGCGAGUGGAAAGAACCAGCAGGAAGGAGACACAAGGUUGGACCAGGAGAAAGCGUAAAGAGGUGGAAAAAGGGGUAAUGGACAGAGAUCGAGAAACAUUGAAGAGGAGUGGAGAAAAGUCACCGAGGAGGAUAUAUGAAGAAAGCGAGAUUAAUCCGGAGAGAGAGAAGGUGGUGGAGCCGACCAGAAUGAAAAGGGAAAGAGAGGGAAGGAAAUAAGGGGGGAAAGGAGGGAUAGGGCGUGUGGGAAGGAGUGGGGGUUAAUAGUAUGUAGUGGCCGCCAAUGUCGGAUCGAAGGAGAUGAAAUUAAAUGUAAACGGUUCGGGAACGCUCCGUGAAAAAAGCGCCAUUGUGACUCCAUUAGGAAAACAAUAAAGCUUUUAUUCUAUUAUCAUUAUUUUGUUUUUUAAGUUAUUAAUCUCCUAAAAUUUAUUUUUAUUUUAAAAUUUUUUAAUGGGAAUGCGUCUUAGAUUUCAUUCUAAACUAUAUUUUUUCAAAAACAUCACUAAUUUUCAAAAAAUCGUCUUCUAAUUAAUUAUACAUUAAAUUUUUAAAGAAUAAUAUAUAUGUAUUUAAUAUUAUUCUAUUAUUUUUUUACUUAUUAAUAUUAUUAUCAUUAUUAUGUAUUUAUCAUUAUUAUAUUAAUUAUCAUUAUUAUAUAUGUUUUUAUGUAUUAAACAUGUAGAUAAAAUACUAUAGUCACAUACACUCAUACAAUUACAUACGCACGUAGAUAGAAUUCAUUAAAUUACAAACCCACGUAAAUAGAAUAUGAUAAACAUCCAUACACAUAGAUAAGAUUCCAGAUAGUACAGUUUCUUCUUAAAGAUUUCAUAAGGUAUUCUUCCUUUCUAAACAGUAAUUCCUUAGGAAUUCAUAGAAGAAUGCUUUAAAAAUAACAUAGGAAGUUAUACACCAUGAUUCGAAUUCCUCAGAACUUCUCAAAGUAUUCAUACAGAAUUGAAAUUCCUGAGAACUUCUUAAAAUAUUCAUUAGAACAUCUCCAAUAGUAGAUACCUCGAACAAUAUCCAGAGGAUGACAAGAAAUUUUUUGAGAUAUUGUAAUAUACCCUGGUGAAAAAAUUUGUCAGAAUUUUUAAAUUUUUCUUCAGGAUUUCUAAUAAAUGUUCCAAUUUUUUAUAAGAAUUGGAACGUUUCUCAAAAAAUUUUUUUAAAUUAAAAUUUUUGAUUUAUUUAGAAACGUUAUGUAAAUCUUUACAAGUUUAUAUAAUUUUACAUAAAAAUGUAUAUAAAAUAGUCUGACAAUAAUAUAUACAUGUAAUAUACACACGCAAACAGAAAAGCCUGACCAUACACAGAAAAAAAAAAUCCUUGUUGUAAAUAAAUUGUUAUUCUUAAAUGCUAUAUACAAUCUUAAUAUGAGUAUGAUGCUAUCUAUCGUUUUAAAGACUUGAAAAAAACCGGUUUUUUUUUAUUUUUCCGCGGAUUUUUUUGUUUUUUUUUUCCACAAGAGUAGCAAAAUUCGUCGAAAAAUUUGCAUAUGUUUUUCGUAAAAUUUAAAUUUACUUUUGUAUUUUUAAAUAACUAGAGAUAGUUUAAAAUUGGUCUGUCAUAUAUUUUCUGUUUUUAAAGUACUUUUUAGUAUUAAAGGACUACAUACACCUAAAGACGUAAAAAAUAGGCCUUUUUCUCGAUUUUUUUUCGAAAUGUAUGUAAUUAAUUUUAGUUUUCUUUAUUUUAUAAUACAUUCUUAAAACGUGUUUCAGAAUAAAUUUGAACUAAAAAUAUUAAAAAAUGGCGGAGAUAUUGUCCUCGUCGUAAGACCUUGUUGAAAAAAGGUGCUCCGCGGUAUUGAAUGGUCACGAAAUGCUGCACGAGUUUGCUGAAUAGCCAGAAGUCGCACGGUGCCAAAUCAGGUAAAUACGGUGGUUGUGGAAUGAUAUGGGUCGAAUUUUUGGCGAAAUGGUCACGAAGAAUCAAUGCAGUGUGAGACGCUGCAUUAUCGUGGUGCAAAAACCAAGAGUUGUCUCGCCACAAUUGCAGCUCGUACAGGACUUACUGUGUCCAAAAAGUAAAGUGACAUAGCAUUUAUUUUGAAAAAUCUUUAUUUAUGCUUCCAAAUCAAUUUUAUCGUCUUCAAAGUAAUCCCCCCCCCCCCGAUACAAAGUACUUAUGCCAACGCAUUUUCCAAUCUUCAAAACACUUGUUAAAGUCGAUUUCCGGGAUGGCCUCUCUCUUCGAUGCGGCUUGUAUCUUCUCUAUCGACUCAAAACGGUGUCUCCGGAGCUGUCUUUUGAGUUUGCUGAAUAGCCAGAAGUCGCACGGUGCCAAAUCAGGUAAAUACGGUGGUUGUGGAAUGAUAUGGGUCGAAUUUUUGGCGAAAUGGUCACGAUGAAUCAAUGCAGUGUGAGACGGUGCAUUAUCGUGGUACAAAAAUCAAGAGUUGUCUCGCCGGCUCAAUUCCGGCCUCUUUAGGCGAAUAGCCUUACGCAAACGAUGCAUAACGCUCAAAUAAUAUUCUUUCUUGACAGUUUGACUCGGCGGAAGAAACUCAAAAUGCAUAACACCACGACAAUCAAAGAAAAUAGUCAACAUGACCUUAAUUUUUGAGCGACUUUGGCGCGGUAUUUUUGGUCUUGCCUCACCUUUAGCACGAUAUUCACUUGAUAGAUCGAUUGUUUCCGGGUCGUAAGCAUAAAUCCAUGUCUCAUCUCCCGUAAUAAUGCGUUUCAUUUUGUCCUGAUACUCAGAAAGCAUUGUUUCACACACUUCAACGCGACGAUGUUUUUCCAAAAAAUUCAGUGUUUUCGGUACCAAUCGAGAUUUGACGCGUUUGAGGCCCAAAACAUUCUUUAAAAUGAUAUUGACUGAUACUUUUGAAAUGCCAUAUCAUCAACAAGAUCUCUAAUUGUUAGUUGAUUUGGUUUGCAAGCACCAAAUCUUUGAUUUUUUGGACGUGAGCUUUGUCGCUUGAAGCUGAUAGUCGUCCGGGACGCUCUUCGUCUUCGACGCGUUCUCGGCCUUCUUGGAAAUUUUUAUACCACUUGUAAACAUUUUUUUUCGACAAAGCCUCAUCACCAAAGGCUUUCUGUACCAUCCUCAACAAAUCAGCAGCAGAAAAUUCAUUCCGCAAACAAAAUUUAAUGCAAAUUCUUUGCUCAACAAAUUUAGACAUUAUAAAAA